UACAGAGGGUGCAAACGUUGUUCGGAUUUACUGGGCGUAAAGCGUGUGUAGGCGGCUUCGCAAGUUGGAUGUGAAAUCCCACGGCUCAACCGUGGACGUGCAUCCAAAACUGCGUCGCUAGAGUCUCGGAGAGGAAGGUGGAAUGCUUGGUGUAGAGGUGAAAUUCGUAGAUAUCAAGCAGAACACCUGCGGCGAAGGCGGCCUUCUGGACGAUGACUGACGCUGAGACACGAAAGCGUGGGGAGCAAACAGG
rnacentral:rRNA from 1 species